GUAGAGAUGGCUGAGUUGACUAAAGCGACGAAUUGUUAAUAUGUUGUAUGAGUUUUUCGUACCAAGGGUUCAAAUCCCUUUUUUCUGUU